rnacentral:rRNA from 1 species
ACUCCUACGGGAGGCAGCAGUGGGGAAUAUUGCACAAUGGGCGCAAGCCUGAUGCAGCAACGCCGUGUGAGUGAAGAAGGUUUUCGGAUCGUAAAACUACUGUCCUAAGGGAAGAAAAAAUAGACGGUACCUUACGGAGGAAGCCCGGCCUAACUACGUGCCAGCAGCCGCGGUAAGUACGUAGGGGCGAAGCGUUAUCCGGAAUCACUGGGGCGUAAAGGGUAGCGUAGGCGGCUUAGCAAGCCAGGGGUGAAAGGACAUUGGCUCAACCAAUGUAAGCCUUUGGAACUGUUAAGCUUGAGUGCAGGAGAGGUAAGUGGAAUUCCUAGUGUAGAGGUGAAAUUCGUAGAUAUUAGGAGGAACACCAGUGGCGAAGGCGACUUACUGGACUGUAACUGACGCUGAUGCACGAAAGCGUGGGUAGCGAACAGGAUUAGAUACCCUGGUAGGUCAGUC